UACAGAGGGUGCGAGCGUUGUUCGGAAUUAUUGGGCGUAAAGGGCGCGUAGGCGGCGCCACAAGUCACCUGUGAAAACUCUGGGCUCAACCCAGAGCCUGCAGGCGAACUGUGGUGCUGGAGUAUGGGAGAGGUGCGGUGGCAAUUCCCGGUGUAGCGGUAGAAAUGCGUAGAUAGUCGGGAGGAACACCCUGUGGCGAAAGCGGCGCACUGGACCAUAACUGACGCUGAGGCGCGAAAAGCUAGGGGGAGCAAACAGG
rnacentral:rRNA from 1 species